ACAUUAGUAAAUAUAUCUCUUUCCCUUUCCUCUUGUUUUCUAGGGCUUGCUACGUAGGCCAGAACUACACCAACACGCUUUGAUGCUGAAGCAGAAUUUGGUACAAGGUGGCUGUAAGUCAGAUCUCCUGCUAAUUGUGUGAAACUGUUUAUGUUGAUUCAUCUAAGCAGCUGGUCUUUUGAGAGAGAUGCAACAGACCAAAGAACAAAGACAGAAGCUUGAGAAGCCAUGUUAGGACUUGUUGCACAGCAUGGUGACUGCUAUGGAACAUUGGUAUGGAGUUUCAGGAGAAAUAAGGGUGAUAGGAUCCAGCUCCCCCCAGCAGAGUUCUUGGAUGUCAAGUCCUGAUAAAUCC
rnacentral:lncRNA from 1 species